rnacentral:lncRNA from 1 species
GAUAUUACUCUCCUGCAGUUUUGAACAUGACAUGGAUUUCCUUCAAAACGAUGAGUAUCUGCUAGGGUCUUAAGGCUGGAUGUGGAUCUCACAGCUUGCCUUUUUCUUGCUGUGAUUUCAGGUUUGCUGUCUCUACUUCUGCUCUCAAGUCACAGGGAAGGAUUUUCAAGAAGGCACUUGAAUGUACUUGAAGGCUCAUUUAGGACCAAAGUUGUUUAGUAUAACUGUGAAAAAUUCAUUGGUUUGAUC